CACAGCUUAGUGAACACAGAGUCAUGGAGAAAUGGAGAUCUCUGUUAAUGACUGGUGCCAGUAGGUGGCAGCAAAUACCAUGAUCACAGCUGAGGACAAUCUUUCCAUGAACAUAUGAAGCUUCUUUUUUUUCUUUCAAUUUCACAAUGUUACUAUGCUCCUUUCUUCCUUUUUAAAAACAAUCGUUAAUAACUGUUACUUGAUUAUGUGCCAGCUGUAUUGUAUGUUAGCAAUAGUGUGAUUAUAUUAUAUAUUUGUAUUUUAUUUGGUGAUUUCCAAACUGAAGCAAAAUAAUAAAUCACGUUUGAAAAAGGUUAUUUUUUCUUUUUCUUCGAUGCAUCAUUUCAUUUUUCUCUUCCGUCAGAAGUGAGCGAGUGCGGAGAGCCAUGUUUUUUUGCUGCACUCCGGCUUCUGCUGACACUGCAGACAGUUCUGUUACACAUGCAGUAGUAACCACCAGUAGUCAGUGUAAAUGAUUUAUGCUGCAUUGUGCAGUCGUUGGACAACGCUCUAUUAAACAAACAAAAAAAGAAAAAGGAAGAAAUGACUCUUAAUUUUACUGAUCUCUUUGCCGGGUGCAGUUUAUUGGCAGAUUUUUUUCGUUGUGUGGAGCCAGCUGGCCUUUGUGGAGGUAGAAUUUGCAUAUGUGGGCUUUAUUUUUCUGCCCUGACUCGCAGGCGCAGGCUGACUGCACUGCACAAAAGACAACACAUGGGAUAUAAACUGCUGCAUUUUCUGAGCAUGUGUGUGCACACAUUUCUCCGGGAAAUAAAAAAAAAUGUCCAACGUUAUAAAUUAAGGAAUAGGGAAGCAAAAAACCCACAAUCUUCUGAUGGAUUAUUUAAUUUAUUAAUUAUUCUUACGCUUAUCCCCCAACCCCAUACACUCACAGAGACCACAUACGACUGUAUGUUACUCAGUAGGUCAUUGACAAUAGUUCAAUUGUUGAAUCUGUUUUGUGUUACUUUUUUUAUUGUUGUAACUUUUGGCUACUGUGGGAAAACCUCUGUAAUCCACACCCUGGCAGAUGGGAGUAGCCCCCCGGGCUGCACCGCAGCGAGUGUAAUGCUCUGCUGCUGCCACCAGAGGGCCCCUGCUGAAUUGAGGACACUGAAGGUUCACUGCACUGCUCUGCCUGCUGCAAACUGCCUCCUCUCUCAUCCAGUCUUCAACUGCAACCCACCAACCUGCAAAUUAUCUGGGAGACAGAGCUCUGCUACAUCUCUGCUGUGCAGCCAUGGCCACCAAAGAAAAAACAAUGUCUCCUGACCGAAGUGACUUUGAUUAUGGCCCAGCUCAUCUGGGACCCAGAUUCCAAAGACAGAAGUUCCUCCUCAAACUGUAUAGAAAAUAUAUUAUGUAUUUGACAGAGAGAGAGAGAGCAAGAGAGAGAGAGAGUCAUCACGGGAACCAUGCCAGCAAAAUCACUCUCACACGCACACGCACACGCACACGCGCACACACACACACACACACACACACACACACACACACACACACACACACACACACACACACACACACACACACACACACUCAUUCCUCUCAUGGCUCUCUGUCAGCUGGAUGAUCAACAGACAGGGUUUUGCAAAACCCGAAUGCUGAACACUGAAUGCUGCAGAAAGUCUCAAAAUAUGCUAAAUAUCUUUAGUUUGCUCAGUAUUGUGUGAGUAGUGGGAAUGAAAGCUUGAUUUAAAACAUAAAUAAAUGAAUACUCCAACCAUGAGACUUGACAAGAUGGCACAUUCAAUAAGACACAAGCAACGAUUGUCGUCUCUCCCUCUAAAAAAUGAAGAGCAUGAUUAUAUAUGGACUUGGACAUUUUGUUUCAAUGAGCUAACAACUGCAUGCAACAACGAUUUGUAACAACUGUCUUUUACCUUUAUUUUUUUCUUCACUUCUGUUGGUAUCUACUUUUUUGCGACUUUCGGAGAAGCAAUCAGUAACAGCAUGAAAACAUAGUGAAGAAACGAAUGACUAGAUUAAACAAAAAACUAUGUUGUAUUUUACGUGAUUUGAAAAAAUAUGAUGGAUGAAAUGCAUAUUGAAUUCUUGUGAGGUUGUAUGGUGUUGAGGUUGUAUUAUUAGCAGGGGCUUUUCUAUCUUAAGUUAAGGCAAAGGUAUUAAAAAUGAAACCUCUACAACCUAAGCAAUGAGACCAGUGUUUCAAAUAAAGCUCCCUUCUACUCAA